AACGAACGCUGGCGGCAUGCCUAACACAUGCAAGUCGAACGAGACCUUCGGGUCUAUGGGCGCACGGGUGCGUAACGCGAGGGAACCUGCCCUUAGGGUCGGAAUAACUCCCCGAAAGGGGUGCUAAUACCGGAUAAUGUCUUCGGACCAAAGAUUUAUCGCCUUUGGAUGGGCCCGAGUGGGAUUAGGUAUUUGGUAGGGUAAAAGCCUACCAAGGCGACGAUCCAUAGCUGGUCUGUGAGGAUGAUCACCCACUCCUGGACUGGGACACGGCCGAGACUCCUCCGCGAGGCAGCAGUGCGGAAUAUUGCAACAUCGCCGGAAGGAUGAUCCAGCACUGCCGGUUGAGUGCUGAAAGCAUUAGGGUUGUAAAGUUCUAUUAACCGGGCUCAUCAUGACAGUACCGGGACAAUAAGCUCCGGCUAACUCCGUG
rnacentral:rRNA from 1 species